GUCCAUCGCAAAGCACCCAGCAAUCUCGGUUCGACUUCCAUCGCGAAAACAGGGAGCAAAUUAAACGGCCGGUUUGAUCUUCAUUGAUUCCCAGCGUCUCUUGAGCUUUGGGAAAAUUCUAUAAAAGGGGGAGCCAUCCGGUGGAAGAGAGGAGGAGGCGAGGGGAGGUCACAAAACGGAAGGGAGAAAGCAGCCGACGAGGAAGGAGAGAACCACACGGUGGAGGAAAAGGAGGAGGCGAGGGGAAGCCACGGAACCAGGGAAGCCAACAUCCAUUUCUUUCCCAGCCGAGCGAGAGAGGAGAAGAGGCCACGGAAGGGAGAAAGCCCACGGGAGAAGAAGAAAGGAAACAGAGUACUCUGUUUCCUUAUCAAAGAAAGAAAAAAGAAAAGGGGUUUAUGUUUGUUUUAUUUAUUCUAUGCUAAUCCCUUUUAUAAAAUGUUCCCAUUUCAUAUGAGUAGCUAAAUCUUCUCUAGCUAAGGCUAGGGAAAAG
rnacentral:lncRNA from 1 species